rnacentral:rRNA from 1 species
CUAGCCAAAGGAACAAUGUAGGCAAGGGAAGUCGACAAAACGGAUCCGUAACUUCGGGAAAAGGAUUGGCUUUGAGGACUGGGCUCGGGGGUCCCGGCCCCAAACCCGUCGGCUGUCGGCGGAUUGCUCGAGCUGCUCACGCGGCGAGAGCGUGUCGCCGCGUGCCUGCCGGGGGAUGGACCGAGAAUCGCCCCUUCGGGGGCUUUGCCCGAGCAU